rnacentral:rRNA from 1 species
UACGUAGGAUGCAAGCGUUAAUCGGAAUUACUGGGCGUAAAGGGCUCGUAGGCGGCCAACUAAGUCAGACGUGAAAUCCCCAGGCUCAACCUGGGAACUGCGUCUGAUACUGGAUGGCUUGAAUCCGGGAGAGGGAUGCAGAAUUCCAGGUGUAGCGGUGAAAUGCGUAGAUAUCUGGAGGAAUACCGGUGGCGAAGGCGGCAUCCUGGACCGGCAUUGACGCUGAGGAGCGAAAGCCAGGGGAGCAAACGGG